GACGAACGCUGGCGGCGUGCUUAACACAUGCAAGUCGAACGGAAAGGCCCUGCUUUUGUGGGGUGCUCGAGUGGCGAACGGGUGAGUAACACGUGAGUAACCUGCCCUUGACUUUGGGAUAACUUCAGGAAACUGGGGCUAAUACCGGAUAGGAGCUCCUGCUGCAUGGUGGGGGUUGGAAAGUUUCGGCGGUUGGGGAUGGACUGGCGGCUUAUCAGCUUGUUGGUGGGGUAGUGGCUUACCAAGGCUUUGACGGGUAGCCGGCCUGAGAGGGUGGCCGGCCACAUUGGGACUGAGAUACGGCCCAGACUCCUACGGGAGGCAGCAGUGGGGAAUAUUGCACAAUGGGCGGAAGCCUGAUGCAGCAACGCCGCGUGCGGGAUGACGGCCUUCGGGUUGUAAACCGCUUUCGCCUGUGACGAAGCGUGAGUGACGGUAAUGGGUAAAGAAGCACCGGCUAACUACGUG
rnacentral:rRNA from 1 species